rnacentral:lncRNA from 1 species
UGCUUAAUCAAUUAAUUACUAUUAACUAAUUUUAAUUAACAUGAUUAUUUGGCUUAAUUAAAUAAUUUUUGAUAAUUAGUUUUAAUUAGUUUAAUUAAUCAAUUCAAUCAAACUGUAAUUAAUUAAUUUGGUUAAUUAAAUAUUGAUUGAUUUAUUUCAAUCCAAUUCAUCAUUGAUUCAAAAUAUCCAAACCAAUUUAAAAAAAAAACAAAAGUCAAAC